ACUAUUGUUAGAUGACUGGAUUAAGGCUCCAGUCUCUUCAGAGGCGUGGUUUCAAAUCCCACCACUACCA